GACGAACGCUGGCGGCGUGCUUAACACAUGCAAGUCGAACGGAAAGGCCCAGCUUGCUGGGUACUCGAGUGGCGAACGGGUGAGUAACACGCGGGUGAUCUGCCCUGGACUCUGGGAUAAGCCUGGGAAACUGGGUCUAAUACCGGAUAUGACCUUACAUCGCAUGGUGUUUGGUGGAAAGCUUUUGCGGUUCAGGAUGGGCCCGCGGCCUAUCAGCUUGUUGGUGGGGUAAUGGCCUACCAAGGCGACGACGGGUAGCCGACCUGAGAGGGUGAUCGGCCACACUGGGACUGAGACACGGCCCAGACUCCUACGGGAGGCAGCAGUGGGGAAUAUUGCACAAUGGGCGCAAGCCUGAUGCAGCGACGCCGCGUGAGGGAUGACGGCCUUCGGGUUGUAAACCUCUUUCACCGGGGACGAAGCGUGAGUGACGGUACCUGGAGAAGAAGCACCGGCCAACUACGUG
rnacentral:rRNA from 1 species